CCCACAUUGGGACACCUUGAUUCCAAGCCCAGCAGUAAGUCCAACAUGCUACGGGGCCGCAACUCAGCCACUUCUGCUGAUGAACAACCCCAUAUUGGCAACUACCGGCUCCUCAAGACCAUUGGCAAGGGUAACUUUGCUAAGGUGAAGUUGGCCCGGCAUAUCCUGACUGGGAAAGAGGUAGCUGUGAAGAUCAUUGACAAAACUCAACUGAACUCCUCUAGCCUCCAGAAGCUGUUCCGUGAAGUAAGAAUAAUGAAGGUUUUGAAUCAUCCCAACAUAGUUAAGUUAUUUGAAGUGAUUGAGACUGAGAAAACGCUCUACCUUGUCAUGGAAUAUGCUAGCGGUGGAGAGGUGUUUGAUUAUCUAGUGGCUCAUGGCAGGAUGAAAGAAAAAGAGGCUCGAGCCAAAUUCCGUCAGAUAGUGUCUGCUGUGCAGUACUGCCAUCAGAAGUUCAUUGUCCAUAGGGACUUGAAGGCAGAAAACUUGCUCUUGGAUGCUGAUAUGAACAUCAAGAUUGCAGACUUUGGCUUCAGCAAUGAAUUUACCUUUGGGAACAAGUUGGAUACCUUCUGUGGCAGUCCUCCUUAUGCUGCCCCAGAACUCUUCCAGGGCAAAAAGUACGAUGGACCCGAGGUGGAUGUGUGGAGCCUAGGGGUCAUCCUCUAUACACUGGUCAGCGGAUCCUUGCCUUUCGACGGACAGAACCUCAAGGAGCUGCGGGAACGGGUACUGAGGGGAAAAUAUCGUAUUCCAUUCUACAUGUCCACGGACUGUGAAAACCUGCUUAAGAAAUUUCUCAUUCUUAAUCCCAGCAAGAGAGGCACUUUAGAGCAAAUCAUGAAAGAUCGGUGGAUGAAUGUGGGUCACGAAGAUGAUGAACUGAAGCCUUAUGUGGAGCCACUUCCUGAUUACAAAGACCCCCGGCGGACAGAGUUGAUGGUGUCCAUGGGUUACACGCGGGAAGAGAUUCAGGACUCGCUGGUGGGCCAGAGGUACAAUGAGGUGAUGGCCACCUAUCUGCUCCUGGGCUACAAGAGCUCUGAGCUGGAAGGUGACACCAUCACUUUGAAGCCCCGGCCUUCAACUGAUCUGACCAAUAGCAGUGCCCCCUCCCCAUCCCAUAAGGUACAACGCAGUGUCUCGGCCAACCCCAAGCAGCGGCGCUUUAGUGACCAGGCUGGACCUGCCAUUCCCACCUCCAAUUCCUACACUAAGAAAACUCAGAGUAACAACGCAGAAAACAAGCGGCCUGAGGAGGAGCGGGAGUCAGGGCGGAAGGCCAGCAGCACAGCCAAAGUGCCUGCCAGCCCUUUGCCCGGUGUGGAGAGGAAGAAGACCACCCCCACCCCCUCCACGAACAGUGUCCUCUCCACCAGCACGAAUCGAAGCAGGAAUUCUCCGCUUUUGGAGAGGGCCAGCCUUGGCCAGGCUUCCAUCCAGAAUGGCAAAGACAGCCUAACCAUGCCAGGGUCCCGGGCCUCCACGGCUUCUGCUUCCGCCGCAGUCUCUGCGGCCCGGCCCCGCCAGCACCAGAAAUCCAUGUCGGCCUCCGUGCACCCCAACAAGGCCUCUGGGCUGCCCCCCACGGAGAGUAACUGUGAGGUGCCGCGGCCCAGCACAGCCCCCCAGCGUGUCCCUGUCGCCUCCCCCUCCGCCCACAACAUCAGCAGCAGUGGUGGAGCCCCAGACCGAACUAAUUUUCCCCGGGGUGUGUCCAGUCGAAGCACCUUCCAUGCAGGGCAGCUCCGACAGGUGCGGGACCAGCAGAAUUUGCCCUACGGUGUGACCCCAGCCUCUCCCUCUGGCCACAGCCAGGGCCGGCGGGGGGCUUCUGGGAGCAUCUUCAGCAAGUUCACCUCCAAGUUUGUACGCAGAAAUCUGUCUUUCAGGUUUGCCAGAAGGAACCUGAAUGAACCUGAAAGCAAAGAUCGAGUGGAGACGCUCAGACCUCACGUGGUGGGCAGUGGAGGCAAUGACAAAGAGAAGGAAGAGUUCCGGGAGGCCAAGCCACGCUCGCUACGCUUCACGUGGAGCAUGAAGACCACGAGCUCCAUGGAGCCCAACGAGAUGAUGCGGGAAAUCCGCAAGGUGCUGGACGCAAACAGCUGCCAGAGCGAGCUGCACGAGAAGUACAUGCUGCUGUGCAUGCACGGCACGCCAGGCCACGAGAACUUUGUGCAGUGGGAGAUGGAGGUGUGCAAACUGCCACGGCUGUCUCUCAACGGGGUGCGAUUUAAGCGGAUAUCAGGCACCUCCAUGGCCUUCAAAAACAUUGCCUCCAAAAUAGCCAACGAGCUGAAGCUUUAACAGGCUGCCAGGAGUGGGGGCGACAGAGGCGGGCCAGCUGGACUUGGCUGCUGGGGCCAGCCGCUGCCCCCCCCAGGCCAGACUGCAGCAACGGAUUGGUGUCUCCCUGCUGGCACUUCUCCCUCCCUGGCCCUUCUUGGUCUUUUCUUCCAAGUUUGUGGGGGAUGGGAGAUGGCUCUUCCCCUACCAUCACCACAUUCACCCCUGCCCAGAAAUUCCCCCUUCCCCUCUCUCCCCCAUAGGAGGCGAAGGAAGGGGAGGGCGGGGUAGGGGCAGGGCUCCCCCUCGGUACUGCGGUUGCACAGAGUAUUUCGCCUAAACCAAGAAAUUUUUUAUUACCAAAAAGAAAAAAGAAAAAAAAAAUAAUCCCAGCUGCCACCUGUCCUCCCUGCCCCAUUGGGACAGUCGAGACUGGAUCUGUGGGGUUUCCCAGGAGGGUGGCUCAGGGCUGGAACACUCUCAGGCAAGAGUGGUGGAGUUCCCUGUCAGGCCCUCUGCCAGGCCCGCUUGGGGCUUCUCCCCUCUCCUCCCCUCCCCCCUCUAAGUGAACCACCAGAGGUGGCCUUCCUCUGCCCUAGGCCCCUGGGCUGGCAGCCUGGGGGGCUGGGGGCAGCGGGCUGGGUGCUGCGCAGCCCUGAAAUGGGUGGGCUGGCGGCUGAGGGCAGGCGGGCUGGCUAGGGGCUCCGUCCUCCCUCUACACUGUAUCCUCUGUCUCCCCCCAGCUGGGCAUUUCCUUCCAUAAGCUGCUGUGGGGACAUUUGUUCCCCUCCUCAAAGGUCUGUGCCAUCUUCUCCCACCCCUUCCGGGUAGGAGGGGCAACCCCAGGGCUGGGAGAGGGGAGGGGACUGCAGGGCAGAUUGGCUCCUCAGCCCCCAGGGGGCCACUUGGGCUGCUAGUUUCCAGAACAGGGACGCUGGGCUUUCUCUGAAAGCACAGUCCCCCUCGCCGCUCCCGUCCCCACUGCUUCCCCUUCAUUGGCAUUAAUCUGGGCACCAGCUAGUUUCAGAGCAGUGACUUCCUUCAUCACUCAUCUCUUGGCCUCACCUUUUCUUCUCAACACUGUCAUCCCUCUCAGGAGGCACUGCCCAGGGCCCCGUGGGCUGCCUGGUGAGAGCUGGACAGGACAGGGCAGCGCA